rnacentral:tRNA from 1 species
AUUUUUUUAGUAUACUAGUACAUCUGACUUCCAAUCAGAAAGCCUAAUCUUGGUUAGAAAAAAUA